UAGUGCUAUACAUGCAGUCGAGCGGACAGAUGGGAGCUUGCUCCCUGAUGUUAGCGGCGGACGGGUGAGUAACACGUGGGUAACCUGCCUGUAAGACUGGGAUAACUCCGGGAAACCGGGGCUAAUACCGGAUGGUUGUUUGAACCGCAUGGUUCAGACAUAAAAGGUGGCUUCGGCUACCACUUACAGAUGGACCCGCGGCGCAUUAGCUAGUUGGUGAGGUAACGGCUCACCAAGGCGACGAUGCGUAGCCGACCUGAGAGGGUGAUCGGCCACACUGGGACUGAGACACGGCCCAGACUCCUACGGGAGGCAGCAGUAGGGAAUCUUCCGCAAUGGACGAAAGUCUGACGGAGCAACGCCGCGUGAGUGAUGAAGGUUUUCGGAUCGUAAAGCUCUGUUGUUAGGGAAGAACAAGUGCCGUUCAAAUAGGGCGGCACCUUGACGGUACCUAACCAGAAAGCCACGGCUAACUACGUGCCAGCAGCCGCGGUAAUACGUAGGUGGCAAGCGUUGUCCGGAAUUAUUGGGCGUAAAGGGCUCGCAGGCGGUUUCUUAAGUCUGAUGUGAAAGCCCCCGGCUCAACCGGGGAGGGUCAUUGGAAACUGGGGAACUUGAGUGCAGAAGAGGAGAGUGGAAUUCCACGUGUAGCGGUGAAAUGCGUAGAGAUGUGGAGGAACACCAGUGGCGAAGGCGACUCUCUGGUCUGUAACUGACGCUGAGGAGCGAAAGCGUGGGGAGCGAACAGGAUUAGAUACCCUGGUAGUCCACGCCGUAAACGAUGAGUGCUAAGUGUUAGGGGGUUUCCGCCCCUUAGUGCUGCAGCUAACGCAUUAAGCACUCCGCCUGGGGAGUACGGUCGCAAGACUGAAACUCAAAGGAAUUGACGGGGGCCCGCACAAGCGGUGGAGCAUGUGGUUUAAUUCGAAGCAACGCGAAGAACCUUACCAGGUCUUGACAUCCUCUGACAAUCCUAGAGAUAGGACGUCCCCUUCCGGGGGCAGAGUGACAGGUGGUGCAUGGUUGUCGUCAGCUCGUGUCGUGAGAUGUUGGGUAAAGUCCCGCAACAAGCGCAACCCUUGAUCUUAGUUGCCAGCAUUCAGUUGGGCA
rnacentral:rRNA from 2 species